GGCAAAAUGAGAGUUCAACUGUCUCUUACAACAAAUCAAUUAAACUGAUCUCCUAGUACAAAAGCUAGGAUUUCCUCAUAAGACCAGAAGACCCUGUGAAGCUUUAAUUAACUUAUUAGACCCUAUAAUAAUUAAUUUAGGUUGGGGCGACCUUGGAACAAAAAAGAACUUCCAAAAAAUAACUUCCUCAUAUAAAGGCAAACAAGCCAUAAUUAGACCCAGUAUAUCUGAUAAAUGAACCAAGUUACUCCAGGGAUAACAGCGCUAUCUUCUUCGAGAGCCCAUAUCAAAAAGAAGGUUUACGACCUCGAUGUUGGAUCAGGACAUCCUAGUUAUGCAACCGUCUCUAGGGGUUCGUUUGUUCAACGAUUAAUAGUCCUACGUGA
rnacentral:rRNA from 1 species